CCGAGUAGUUCUUCACCAGUCUUUUCCAUGUCAAGAUCAGCACUGAGUAUGAAAGUAUUGAUUUUCAAAAUGCAUAUCAAAUUUACACAUUUGCCACCAGCCAGUUUAUCACCACCUGCUAUCUUGUAUUCAAUUCUGUUACACAAGAGUGUAAAUUAAUGCGGAGUGCAAUCCUCGUAAUUAUUAUAGUUGGGGAGCAAAUGGGGCUGUGCAUAUGCAAGUAUCUAAUUAGCCACGUAAUGGUCGCAUACACGUGAAAAUACCCUGUUCAACUAUGAAAUCGUACCGACUGCUUCAGCUUAUACAACGGUGUGUAUAGUUGCCUUCCUUGCAUAAGGAGAAUUAGGCCUUCUGUUUUUAAUAAUACUGCACCAUUCUGUUCAAUUCUGAGCCCUUAAUCUUGCAUCACAGUAGAACACUCCGGUAGCAACAAAUAAUUGUGUGUUUUUCACACUUUCCAUUUUGUAAAAUGCUACUUCCUGACCUCUGUGAAAUGCAUACAGUGGGCUACUUUGAUGUAUAAUUAGAUUAAUCUUAACUAAAAAGUAUCCUGGUGUAGCUGUGACAGUAAAAAGAAUAAGAUUUUACCUACUCAGGAAUUUUAAUUUUCAGUUGUCUUUUCUCAUGAGAGCUCUGUUGUCUUAGUAUGUCACACAUAGUUUCACCACUUCUGUUUGUUUUAGACUGAGACAACUUGGCCUUAUUAGCUUCUUCUAUCCCCUUCAGUUUUGGUGGGGUCUCAAGUGCCUCCUUAGUUCUAUUGCAAAAGGAAGUCCUCAUAAACCACAUAAAGCCCUAAAAAAGCUGAGGGCAAAAUUGAGUGGAUCUUUGCUCUCAUUGGCUGCAUCUUCCCCUCAUGCAGUGCUGCCACGGGUGUCUAAAGCUCUGCAAAGGGAAAGAGAAUUGCAGGCUGCUGGCUCUCCAUGUCAGAGAGCAUGCAUUCACUCCCAGUACCUUUUCUGGAUCUGCCAAAUGUAUUGCUGGGAUUUCUAGGAUACAACAUCAUCAUUUCAGCACUUCUGUAAUUUACAGACAAAGAACUACGAAAUAGGAACAUAGCUAGGAGGAUUGGGCAUAGUAUGAGGUCAUGCUGUCUAAGGCUGGCCAGAUACUUGCCUUUCCACUCAACUUGUAGAGGCAAAUUUGCUCAUUUCUGAACGUUCUCUACUUCUUUUAGAUGAGCAUCAGCAAGACUGAUAAAAAAAUAGUUGGUGUGUUUUUACUUGGAACUUCUCUCCAAAAAAUGAGAAUUUACUUUGCUUAUAUAGAGUAAUUAAGAAUACUCAUACUCAAUAAUUAAUUUGGGGGUUAAUUUUACCUCUCCCCCCUCUCCCAAUGCAGGCAUCUGCAUACUUCUGUACAUGCACAUAUGCAUACUCCAUUAAAAUUACAUCAGCAUAAGUAUGAAUAUCAUGAACCAAAAGUUUGGCAUCCCUACUAUAGUGACAGCUGACUGCCACCUAUGGGCAGGAGUUCAUGUUAACAUAUUUAGCUAGAAUUUUAAUAUUAUUCUUUGCAAUUAAUUCAAUUUGUAAUUGUUCUAGUAGGACAGAGCUUCAAUUCAUUUGCUAUAUAUUUGUCCACGGCAAUCACUUCUCCCUCUGAAAACUGAAUAUUAAAACCAGCUUCUUUAUGAAGGGGAAUCAGCUUUGCGACGAUUAAAAAAAAAUGGGGUAGGACGUUCUUAUUUCUGUUAUCUGAAUAAGGAAUAAAUAGAAGCACCCUACUUCUCCAAGCAAAGAAAAAUGACUCAGUGGUACACAGACAGGCACAUCAACAAGAUAAUGCUGUAUUUAAUGAUUACUGUAAUUUUAAAGUUUAGCCAUCUCAAGGUUGUAAUAUUUUGUUGACGGCCUUCUUUUACUAAAUACAUACAAAUAGGCUGGUUAUGCAGUCCCGUGAAAAUGUGUAUAUAAUUAGUAUGUCAUAGUAAUUCUCUAUUCAAAAAUUUUCAUUUUUCCGAGGAAAAUGAUGGCUAAAGUGGGGGAAGAGAAAGAAGAGCAGAAAAAUGUAUGGCUUGAUUAUGUAAGCCUUGAUUUUUCUGAUAAUCAGUGCUCAUUUACGAAAGAAAAAAAGCAAGUGCAGACUGAAAUGUCAAAUUCAUUGUAUUAAAAAUCGUGUUUCUAAUUCAGCUUCCAGGUACUUAAAAGCAAAUAGGCUGACAAUUCUGUCUAUUUGAUUACAAAUAACAAAAAUGCUCGACUACAGCUACUACAUCGUAGUAUGCUGCAGUAUAUCGUGCAGCCCUCAUCAUUUCUCAGAAAUAACAUACGUAAACAUAGCUGGAACAGUUUAGCGAAUUAAUACAUACAUUUUCGUUUGGGAAAAAAGAUCAUUUUACUUCAGUCAGCAGAAGGUAUUUGUAACCAUAACAUGCUUCCCUUUUUGGGGAAGGAGCGCAGAAUUUUUGAGGGAACAGAGACAGAAAUGAACUUUAAAAGGGGAAAAUAUGUUAAAAGAGACAGAAACUUACAGGAACUAAGAAUGAGUUUGAUAUGAUGAAUUUUUCAAAAUCCCCCUUUUAAAGUAAUUUUAUUUCUGGGCCUCCUCAUUUGUGUUCCACCCUGUUAAAUAUUUUUUUUUGAGAUAGUCUGGUAAUUGUAAGUAUUACAUUUGUGCUCAUCUCAUGCGUUUUUACUAAGUUUUAUUACUAAAGUUACGUCGUAAACUUGGGAAAUACUGUACAAGCAGCAUACACCAUUUUGGUAUCAGACGUUAUCACGUCGGCAUUUCAUGCUUACCCUCCAACAGCAUAAGCACCCUUUAUCAUCUAUGGAAUUCUGACAUUUAUGGUAAAAUAUUUGUACUCAGUACACAAAGGGAUUUUGAAACUUAAGUAACUGUGUUACACAGCAAUUUAAUUCCAAUACAUUUUGCUUCUUACUACUGAAUUAAGAUUGCAAAAACAGUCUGACUUUCUUGUGUCCGACCGGUAACAUUCCCUUGCAUUUUCAAACCACGGUUUAAACCGAACCCACUCAGACUCUUUGGAUAGAAACUUCAUAUCAGACAAAAAUUACUCUUUAGCACGUUUGAUGAAUCCAGCUUAAAACCAAACACAGAACUGCAUGAACAUCUGCGACAAACGACUCGCCUUGGCCAUUCUCUUCUUUCUUAUUUAAUCUCCCACUGGAGUACAGUUUAGUUGGUUUGCUAUUUUAUAGUGCAGAUCUCUCCCUCACCAACCUACUGCUUGCAAAAAAGAACUUUAAAAAUUUCCAUGUGUGAGAACAAAACCUGAGCAGAAUAGGGCUGCACCUUUUAAAAUGGGUACUAGCAGGGGAAGGGAAAGCAACGAACAAGCUAGCACUCCAAAUUUCCAGGAAUAACAAAAAGGGGAAAAAAAAAUAGGAAAAAUGAAACCGAGGACUGUUAAACUAAUAGAUCAGUUACUAGAAUAUGAAACAGAACCGUCCUUUCCUGGUGAUGCUUCACUGACUUGCUGCUUGCAUACCCACACGAGUAUAAACUGAGAGCAAAAUUUUUCUUAAUGUAGGCAGUAUUACGAAUGUUGAGAUAUUCCUGUUUCAGUAUCUUUAAAUCUGAGGCCUUGUUAAAGAAGACGCUACUUGGAAAGAUCUCUGAGAUACCGGCAAACCCUGCUUGGUUUCUCCUGAUUUUCUUCCACAAAUGAUCUGUUUGAUAGACGGGGGAAAAAUAAAAGAGCAAAUAGCAGGCAAAGCACCUUUAAAGUGCCUGUUGUUACUUUUGUGCCUUUACAAAAAGACGAGGAAAAUUCCACUUCCCAAGUAAAGAAAUACAGAGCAGUGUAACAUCAUAGCUUUAGAAAUUAUUCUUUCUGUUUUUCACACAUCGCCUCAAUUUCACCCGAAUGCUGCUUAUACUGCGUAACACAGAUUUUACUUUACAUAAUAUCGCUUAGUGCCUAUAUGGAUUAUUUGUUACCUAAUAACUGUUAGAUUGGUCGUGAAUUUUUACUGUGCUAGGUGUUUUUCAGAACAUAGUUACAUGUCUGCAUUUUUUUUUGACAAACUUUCAAAAUAUUACUGUAUUCUGGUCUAUUUCACCAUGAUUUAACACUGCAGGAGUGCAUCCAGAUAUUCAUAACACAAUACGCUUGUAGGCACAACUAAACAAAAAGCAGAUUAGCUUGUGAUGUAGUGGAAUGAGUGGGACUUUCUUCUAAUGGAGAAAAACCUGUUUGCUCAUAAUAAUUCCAUUUAUAGCUGAGAAAGGGAGCAAAGCACCUGGAAUUGAGUCAGUGUGAAUUCCAGCAAUGCAAUGAGCUUCACAAAAGCUGUGGUUACCUUGUUUUUUAACUAACCACACUGAGCUGACAGCUAUUAACAGUAGCAAGGACUUGCAUAACGAGGACUUGAAGGAAAGCUUAGCACUAUCCAUGCCAGAGCGAUUUAAAGAGAAUGAAGGCACGUAUUUCUUUAUGAUGCAUUAUGUAACAACAUAGAGGGCAAUCUGAGACAUUUAAAAAGAUACGGGGACCCACAUAUAAUUUUACACUUGUUAUUUUAGAGUGCUUAUAACCCAAUGCUUAUGAAACACCUAACUUAGGAAUGUGAUCCUGUAAAAUGAGUUUAAAAUGUUUUUGAAGACGUGUUUUACGUUUUGUACGUGCUUAGAAAAGCAUAGUAGGUCCUACAAUUCAUUUUCUUCAAAAUUCUGCAAUGUAUGCAAUCUCAGAUAAAAUUGUCAAAAUCUAGGAUAGCUGGACCUUCUGGUUCACAUUAGUGUGAAGAGAAAACUGCUGUUGAGCUGACACGUUGAUAGAUUAUGAGUUCUGCUGAAGAAUAGCUAAAAAUGGUGAUUCAAUCUUGUCGCUACUGUAUAAAAAAAAUAACAGAAGUGGAGAUGUUACUCAUGAUAUCGUGUCUUUCAUCAAAACCCUAAAGGGUUCUGGUGCAUUGAACACGUUUUCCUUCUGAGAGCUUUUGGCUGUAUAAAAUAUCGGUGUAAGUAAAUGAAACUAAAUUGGCCUAUUUAAAAAACAAAUAGGAUGAGCUUUUGUGCCCUAAGUUUAUUUAAACAAGAAAAUAAAGAUUGGAAUAUAAAAAGACUGCCUUUUAAGGUGGUAGGUUCUUUUCCUUUUCAGUUUUUACAAUAGAGAUUCUGGUCUUGUAACGAUGAAAUGGAGAGCUGCAGGAUUAUGAAACAACUAAACACGAAGGGCAAAUCUGACUGGAAGAGACAGAGAUAUUAUUGCAAUUAUCUGAAACUUAGCUGGGUUAGUUCCUUCACUAACCUAAAUCAAUGCAGUUCCUCUGAAAUCAAUAGGGUGAUACAGAUUCAUCCAAAACAUACCUGGCAUGUAAGAUAAUGCGUCACCUUCUGUUAGGACACGUAAACAUAAACACAUGUGGAGAGGACUCUUUUCUAUAUAUCUCCUUAACCUUUAAAUACUCGAAACCGUACUUUUAGGAGAGGCAUUUAUGUACUUCUGCUAUUUUACUCCUAUAUCUCUGUUGGUAUGAAUCUCGUGUGGUCAUUUACACUAAAAUAAAGUCAGGUCCAAACGCUGACUUCAGUCCUCAGUGCUCCGUACUUAUCUGUGCUGCUGCAAAUCACCAGGAAGGGCUCAAGAUGGCAGGGAGCCGGGGCCUUGCUGGCUGCUGUCUUCCUCCCGUGAAAAUCACCGAGCGCUCCCACUGCUCAUUUCUGAAUCACCCAAGGCGUCCUGCAACAACAGAAGGGAACCAAGACUUCACAAUCCUCAUCCUCACCGAUGGGAGAGCAGGGCCUCUCCAGUGUAUUCACAGCUUUUCCUACAAUAAUGCUUCUGGUCGCAGAGAAAUUUUUAUCUCUGAAAAACAUCUCCCCACAGAACCGUGACAUCUUGUCACGUGACUCUGAAGUAGAGCAAGAGUUGCAGCAGACUUCAACUUUCAGUCCUACAUUGCCUGUUCAAGAAAGGUCUAGAGAAGAAAGUCCUAAAUAACAUGGUGAAUUAAAAAAAAAAAAGAUAAUUGCUGGAGUAUCAUCACAGAAUGGCCUGGGUUGAAAAGGACCACAAAGAUCAUCCAGUUUCAACCCCCUGCUAUGUGCAGGGUCGCCAACCACCAGACCAGGCUGCCCAGAGCCACAUCCAGCCUGGCCUUGAAUGUCUCCAGGAAUGGGGCAUCCACAACCUCCUUGGGCAACCUGUUCCAGUGUGUCACCACUCUUUGUGUGGAAAAACUUCUUCCUAAUAUCCAACCUAAACCUCCCCUGUCUCAGUUUAAAACCAUUCCCCCUUAUCCUAUCACUAUCCACCCUUGUAAACAGCCGCUCCCCUUCCUGUUUUUACUCUCCCUUCAAGUACUGGAAGGCCACAGUGAGGUCUCCCCAGAGCCUUCUCUUCUCCAAACUAAACAAGCCCAGUUCCCUUAACAUUUCCUCAUAGGAGAGGUGCUCCAGCCCUCUGAUCAUCUUAGUGGCCCUCCUCUGGGCCCGCUCCAAGAGUAGUAAGUCAAUAGCUGAAAAGUGAUGUGAAAAAGAAGGCAGCUAGAAGAAAUAAAGGAUUUCUUAAAACCACUCCCACCCAGCAAUGCUGUUUCUUGUAUCUUUAGUUUCAUCUGCUUCUCGAAGUCUAUCUUGCCAAAUAUGCCUACCUUUCAAAAUUACUCCAGCUUCGGAAUGAAAGUGUCAGCAGUUGCAAGACUCUUGAGGAGAUGAUGACAGAUGAUGCCUCAAAGAUAAGUAACAUUCUACUAUAUGACCUCUGCCUACAGUAAGUUCUCUAAAUGCACGUGUUUCACCACAUCAUGGCAUGUUACCUACUUUAUUUAUCCAUUCCACUUGAUAUAGCUAUUAAAAACAGCCCUUCUUAGUUGAGUCUUUUCCUCAGGAUCUAAUUCUGUAACUACUUUGACAAAAUUAAAGACUCACAAGAUGAAUGGGCCGCAUGCCCCUACUAACAAAAUGUGUGUAUCCUCCAAAAACAUUCUGAUUAUUUGAAAAAUCCUUAGGAUGGAUGUCAGUUAAAAUUACAAGGGGAGGGAUUCCAUCCAUUCUUUCAUACUUAUUUCCUCCUCUUCACUGUUUCCAUUUUAUUUAUCAAAUAAGCUUUCUGUUGCCAAAUUUCUUUCAUCUUUUUGUAAGUAUUGUUUUUACCUCUUCUGUAUUUUGCAUAUGAGAAAUCCUUUCUACUUAUUUCUAGGCAUUUUCUAAAUAUAUAUUUGUAUCAUUGAUGAUCAUGUUGCAAUCUCAUUUAAAUGAGUAUUUAAACGUAUUCGUCAUUCAUAUAAUUGGAACCAAGCUCAGCAUCAAUAAGUGGCUUAUUAGUGGUCUUAGAGUAAGUGAUAGGAAAGGGCAGAUAAUAGUCAAUUCUUUUGUAACUAUUAUUACAAAACUUUGUAUGCACACUGGGGCUUUGUUGAUACUUGCAUCAGAAAACAGUAAAUGACUAAAUGUGACCCAGCUUCUCACCACCAGCAAUGGUUUUGAUUACAUCAUGACUGAAAACUGCACUGACAGAACCAUAAAAAUGUUUGCAGAACCUGAGCUUGUGGUCUAACAUUAACAAUGAAUCUCCCAGGCAGUUUUCGUGUGCAGUAGGUGAGGAAUGAUGGGCCAGACUAUAGUUUGCUGGGCAAAUGCAAAGAUGGACAAGGAAGAUGGCAAAAUAAUUACUUCACCUGAUCCUUCCUUUGUGUGUUCAAAGCCAGGUUGUAGAAUACAAGAAGUGAUGAAAAGCUGCAAAGGUACAGUGCAGCCCAAGCUUUCCUUAGAGGUGGUACUGAGCAUGCCAGCAGGUUUGCAAAAGCAAGUAGGCUUGGCACACGUAUGAAGAGGGUGCAUCUAAGACAGUUGCAUGGUCGCACAAAUAUAACUUGAAUAUCUCUGAGUAUUUAAACUGCAUGUGCUGCAAAAAUUAUUUAUUUAUGCCAAUGUAAUUCUACAGGUGAAGUUAUUUCCAUAUAUGCCACUCUCCAGACAGUUGUCCUUGUUCUAAAGUAACAAAUAAUAACUUUUCCCUUACUUUACUAAUCAUGGUGAAAAAGCGUCCACCUGAGAGGUCUACAUUUUGCCUGACUUCCCCCUAGUUCAUUUUCCUAGUGCAGACAAGUGCUAAAACUAUCAUUGAGGAAGAGUGGGAUGCUAGGAUGUCCUGAGGAUGCCACCUCUGUAUGUAGAAUCCACUGCUGACUCAGAGCAAAUCUGGACCAUUACACAAACCAUUGUCAGCAAUGGAGCACUAUGUUCAGCAAUUUAGGAAGGACAGGCAAGCAAUAUAAAAGAAUCCAAAUAAAGCAACAAAGAUGGUUAGACACAUGGCUGUGUGUUUCACAAGCAAUGAGCUUUCUUAAAAUAACACGGAAGGAAGAAAGAAAAGCCAGAAAAUUAUAUAUCAGCAGUACUAUUUCUAAAAAUAAUGGUUUUCAAACUUUUCCAUGUGGCAUUAACAGCUCUUUAAGGGAUAAUCUUUAUUGCUUUGUAACAUACAAAGCAAUAAACAGCUGCUGAGAUUGAUUAAUAGCCAAAGCAAAGUUGAGGCAUGUAAUCAAUCUAAAAAGCCAUUUAUUGUGAAUAUGCUACAAAGCAAUAGAGAUUACUGCUGUUGCACAACAAACCAUAACAGAGAAAACACACAGACACAUACACACACCCAGCAAAAACAGUUGCUUUCUUUUCAAGGCCCUCUGUGUUAUGCUGCCUUUUUCCUGAGCUUGCAAAUGGCAGUGCCAUUGCCAAAGAAAGGCCACUGGCCCUAUAGCGUAUGGUCUCCUUGAAGAAAGUAAUGCUGUAAGAACUGCAGUGUUACCUGAGCGGGAAAUCAUACUAAUGGGUUUUUGUGUUUGGUUUGUUUUUGUUUUUCUGUAACUAGAAAUGUAAAAUUCCACAUGUAUGCAAUGUGUCCUUGGAAAUGGUACUGCUAUUUGUAUAAUAAUAAUAAUAAUAAUAAAGAAUUGGCUUACCAAUUGAAAAAAAAAUAGUCUAAUUUGUGCUAAUGUAGGGCACUUUUUU
ensembl:lncRNA